UUUUUUUUUUUUUUUUUUUUCUUUUUUUUUCGUUUUACAGCCACACCUGCAGCAUAUGGAAGUUCCCAAACUAGGGGUCAAAUCAAGCUGCAUCUGCCAACCUACGCCACAGCCAGAGCAACACCAGAUCAGAGCUGCAUCCGUGACCUACGCCACAGCUUGCAGUAACCCCAGAUCCUUAACCCACUGAGCAAGGCCAGGGAUUGAACCUGUGUCCUCAAGGACACUAUGUCAGAUUCUUAACCUGUUGAGCCACAACAGAAACUUCAGGAUCUUUACAUUAAACUUCAGAGUCAACAUACAAGAUAAUUAAGUAUUCCUUUUACCAGGUAGAAACUUAAUUUAUUAGUAAUAUUGUCUGCCUUGAUUUUUUUUUUUUUUCCCCUGGCCCCAGGUGUGCAUAUUGUUGCCUUUCUGGUUUUGCUUCUUACAAGACUUGCUGGGUCCCUCUAUGUCUUCAGCUGUGCUGGAUUUCAUAGCUGGGUUCAAAACAUAGAGAGAUGUUGGGCAUAGGUCUAGCCCUGCGCUGGUUCAUGCUGCCCUCCACCUCAUUAGUCUGUGGCACCUCAUUGGAGUUACAGAGAAGAGUGACCUGUGGCCCUGGGCCACAGAGGCUCAUAACAGGAUAAAUUAUUUAUUUGCUGUGUACUCCCUUAUCUUUACAUGCUGUAGGAAUGUUAGAAAUUCAAUGUUCCUUAUUAAAAUGCCAACUAGGAAAUAUCCAAGUAAGUCAAAUCUUAUCAAAUUGAUGACUAAAUUAUUGGGGCAAAUAAAAUUAAAUAAGAAUGUAGUUUUUUUUUUUUUUUCCCAUCAGUUUAGUGUUUUGGUAACAUUUUUAUUUUUUUUUCACCCAGCUAUUAGAUAUUAAAACUCCUUGCAUUGCUGUGGCUCUGGCCGUAGGCCGGUGGCUACAGCUCCGAUUCAACCCCUAGCCUGGGAACCUCCAUAUGCCACGGGAGCGGCCCAAGAAAUAGCAACAACAACAACAACAACAACAACAAGACAACAACAACAACAACAAAAAAGACAAAAGACAAAAAAAAAAAAAAAGAAAAGAAACAUUGGAAUGUCACGCUUCAUGCCCUCUUGCCAGUGUUCUUGGUGGAAGAUAUUGAGGAAGAGAAUGGAGAGGGAGCACUGGGAAUAGAGAGAGUCUUAGAGUUCCUGGGAUUGUAGCAGUCUUAGAAUUUCUGGGAUUCUAAGACUACUGUUCUUUUUUUAUUCAGAAAGUGGAAGCUCAGAAAGGUCAAGUGUCUUGGCCAAAGUCCCAGAGCUACUUAGAGUGUUGGUUAUGUGACUGUGGACUUCUCUUCUAGGUUCCUAUUAGAAUAUCUUCCCAGUUUUUAUCUUUAUGAAGGGGAUUGGAGAUACAGUUUUUAAUCUAUAAGGGUUAGAGGUGAAACUAGUGACAAAUAGAUGGCAGUAAGUAUGUAAACCCUUCUAUUAUUGUUGAAACAAAUGAACAAAAUACCUUCUAUUCUCCAAUAAAUGCUGGCCCUGAAAGUAGGAAAACAGACUUAAUUUGAUAAAAGAGGAUGCAUUUGUUGCCUGUGUUAUCACAAUAUGCUCAUAAAUUUCUGUCACUGAAAAGGAAAAUGACCUUAUUCCAAGUCUCACACCGUAUAACAAAGGAGCUCAAGGAAGCCAGAAUUCCAGGGGGUUGUGGAAACCAUUGAUUUGUGAAAAAACCUUCCGUGUGAAGAGUUAUGAUGUAGAACAUCCAAACAAAUUGAUCACAAGAAGUUUCUCGGAAGACGUCUCAGACGUGCACAGGUGCCAUUUUUAAAAUUCUCUGUUAUAAAUGAUCAUGCGUUUUAUGUUUUUCCGUGUGAAGGAGAAAAGAAUUUCCCAAGUCAUCAAAACAAAUUACCAAUGGUGUUGAACAUUUCUGCACAGGUAGUGUUCUAUCAGAGGGCACUCGGCAUGGUUUGGAAUCCACUUGGACUUCCACGUUUCCAUUCCAGAAAUCCAGGAAGACAUGCUUUUAAAGUGUGUCUUAAAUCUGGAUGUAAUACAUGAGGAAUGUCAGCAAAAUUUGCCUUGUGUCAGCAGUGAGAAUUUCUUUUCUGUUCUCAAGGUGUUUAGAAGAUUCUAAUUCUUCUCCUUGCUGUGUUCAGUCUGGUUUGGCCACUUGCAUGUGACUUCAGAUACUGACCACUGUUAGUGUAACUCCAGUGAGAACGUAAAUGCAUCCAUCCUCAUUUAUAGGAUGAUUUAUUUUAACCUUCCUUUGUCCCUCUCUUCUCUGCUCCUCACGUCCCAAUUCAAGUAUCAGAUCCUUUGACAAUUGUUAACCUGCCCUUCUGGGAUUGUUUGGCAUUAAGCUAUGACUGUAGCAUUUCUUCUAAUAAAUUAGAUUCCUGAAAGAAUGCUGCCUGCCAAGAAGCAAAGUCAUUACCUAGUGUGUAUAUUUUCAAUGCAUUGCUAUAAAAAUCUCCUUAACCAAACAUAAUAGGCAGUUAAAAUAAAUUUGAAGUAACCGUGUCACCUCUAGGUUUAAAAAUCAUUAAGCUGAAGACAGGUGGUCUAAUUUGCUCUAGUUCCAUUUUCUUUAUUCACAUGCUAUGAUGCUUUCUCCAUGCAAUCAUGUAUAUAUCUUAUGUCUGUAGCUCAUAUAUUUAUAUGGUUAAAUGUACAUUUUUUCCAGCAAACUAUUUUUCAGAAUUGACUUUUUUUUGCAGUUGGAAAUUAGUUUUGCAGCAGUUGAACAUUCCAUCAUCUUUGUCGGUCAGCACUCUUGUCUGCCAUAAAGACCAAAAAGACACUUGACCCUUUGAAAUUCCUGUUUGGACUGAACAGUUACGGGAACAAACUGGGGAAUUGUAUAAAGAAGUAAAUAUAUUUUUAUUGACUCUUAUAAUUACUUUACCUCAUAGUUUUCAAAAAGGCGUUUAAGGUGAUUGGAAA
rnacentral:lncRNA from 1 species